ensembl:snoRNA
AGCACUGGUGUUUGUGUGUCUUUGUCUAAUUUGUUACAAAACCUUACAGACAGGUGCAAACAGUAAAUCCUCUUUUGCAGCCCAGAACUCACUGUUGAGUAUGAGAUUUUGGAACAUGUAAGAAGGAAUAUG